GGCCUUGUAGCUCAGCUGGUAGAGCGCGCGCUUUACAAAAGCGUAGACAGCAUCGAUACGCAGGGUUCGAAUUCUACCAAUGCUU
rnacentral:tRNA from 1 species